GACGAACGCUGGCGGCGUGCUUAACACAUGCAAGUCGAACGGAAAGGCCCUGCUUUUGUGGGGUGCUCGAGUGGCGACCGGGUGAGUAACACGUGAGUAACCUGCCCUUGACUUUGGGAUAACUUCAGGAAACUGGGGCUAAUACCGGAUAGGAGCUCCUGCUGCAUGGUGGGGGUUGGAAAGUUUCGGCGGUUGGGGAUGGACUCGCGGCCUAUCAGCUUGUUGGUGGGGUAGUGGCUUACCAAGGCUUUGACGGGUAGCCGGGCUGGGAGGGUGACCGGCCCCAUUGGGACUGGGAUACGGCCCAGACUCCUACGGGAGGCAGAAGUGGAGAAUAUUGCACAAUGGGCGGAAGCCUGAUGCAGCAACGCCGCGUGCGGGAUGACGGCCUUCGGGUUGUAAACCGCUUUCGCCUGUGACGAAGCGUGAGUGACGGUAAUGGGUAAAGAAGCACCGGCUAACUACGUG
rnacentral:rRNA from 1 species